rnacentral:rRNA from 1 species
UACGGAGGGUGCGAGCGUUGUCCGGAAUCACUGGGCGUAAAGGGCGCGUAGGCGGCCUGAUAAGUAGGGGGUGAAAUCCUGCGGCUUAACCGCAGGGCUGCCUUCUAAACUGUCAGGCUAGAGCACAGUAGAGGCAGGUGGAAUUCCCGGUGUAGCGGUGGAAUGCGUAGAGAUCGGGAAGAACAUCAGUGGCGAAGGCGGCCUGCUGGCUGUUGCUGACGCUGAGGCGCGACAGCGUGGGGAGCAAACAGG